GUUAUAGGAUCAAGUGACUAAGUGCAUGUGGCGGAUGCCUUGGCGAUCACAGGCGAAGAAAGACGCGGCAGCCUGCGAAAAGCUGCGGGGAGCUGGCAAACAAGCAUUGAUCCGCAGAUAUCUGAAUGGGGGAACCCACACCGCAAGGUGUAUCUGCAUCUGAAUACAUAGGGUGCAGAGGCGAACGAGGAGAACUGAAACAUCUAAGUAUCCUCAGGAAAAGAAAUCAACCGAGAUUCCGGCAGUAGCG
rnacentral:rRNA from 1 species